rnacentral:rRNA from 1 species
UACGGAGGAGGCAAGCGUUAUCCGGAAUUAUUGGGCGUAAAGCGUCCGCAGGUGGCACUUCAAGUCUGUCGUCAAAGACUGGGGCUUAACCCUGGAAAGGCGGUGGAAACUGAAGCGCUAGAGUGCGGUAGGGGUAGAGGGAAUUCCCGGUAUAGCGGUGAAAUGCGUAGAGAUCGGGAAGAACAUCGGUGGCGAAAGCGCUCUACUGGACCGUAACUGACACUCAGGGACGAAAGCUAGGGGAGCGAAUGGG